GUGGGGAAUCUUAGACAAUGGGGGCAACCCUGAUCUAGCCAUGCCGCGUGAGUGAUGAAGGCCUUAGGGUCGUAAAGCUCUUUCGCUGGGGAAGAUAAUGACGGUACCCAGUAAAGAAACCCCGGCUAACUCCGUGCCAGCAGCCGCGGUAAUACGGAGGGGGUUAGCGUUGUUCGGAAUUACUGGGCGUAAAGCGCACGUAGGCGGAUUGGAAAGUUGGGGGUGAAAUCCCGGGGCUCAACCCCGGAACUGCCUUCAAAACUCCCAGUCUUGAGGUCGAGAGAGGUGAGUGGAAUUCCGAGUGUAGAGGUGAAAUUCGUAGAUAUUCGGAGGAACACCAGUGGCGAAGGCGGCUCACUGGCUCGAUACUGACGCUGAGGUGCGAAAGCGUGGGGAGCAAACAGGAUUAGAAACCCCUGUAGUCC
rnacentral:rRNA from 1 species